CCUGGUGGUUCGAGCGGUGCGCACAAAACCCGAUCCCAUCUCGAACUCGGCCGUUAAACGCACCAGCGCCCAUGGUACUGUGUCUCAAGACACGGGAGAGUCGGUCGCCGCCAGGC
rnacentral:rRNA from 1 species